rnacentral:rRNA from 1 species
GGUAAAAGAAUGAGUAUGCGUUUUAUUACCUAGUAGGUAACGUACCGGCUUACCUAGGCAACGAUAGAUAGGGGGCCCUGAGAGGGGGAUCCCCCCACAAUGGUACUGAGACACGGACCAGACUCCUACGGGAGGCAGCAGUGAGGAAUAUUGGACAAUGGGCGCAAGCCUGAUCCAGCCAUGCCGCGUGCAGGAAGACUGCCCUAUGGGUUGUAAACUGCUUUUAUACAGGAAGAAACACCUCUACGUGUAGAGGUUUGACGGUACUGUAAGAAUAAGGAUCGGCUAACUCCGUGCCAGCAGCCGCGGUAAUACGGAGGAUCCAAGCGUUAUCCGGAAUCAUUGGGUUUAAAGGGUCCGUAGGUGGAUAAUUAAGUCAGAGGUGAAAUCCUGCAGCUCAACUGUAGAAUUGCCUUUGAUACUGGUUAUCUUGAGUUAUUAUGAAGUAGUUAGAAUAUGUAGUGUAGCGGUUAAAUGCAUAGAUAUUACAUACAAUACCAAUUGGGAAGGCCGAUUACUAAUAAUAUACUGACACUGAUGGAGGAAAGCGUGGGGAGCGAACAGGAUUAGAUAGCCUGGUAGUCCACGCCGUAAACGAU